rnacentral:rRNA from 1 species
GAUGAACGCUGGCGGCGUGCCUAAUACAUGCAAGUCGAGCGAACAGACGAGGAGCUUGCUCCUCUGACGUUAGCGGCGGACGGGUGAGUAACACGUGGAUAACCUACCUAUAAGACUGGGAUAACUUCGGGAAACCGGAGCUAAUACCGGAUAAUAUAUUGAACCGCAUGGUUCAAUAGUGAAAGACGGUUUUGCUGUCACUUAUAGAUGGAUCCGCGCCGCAUUAGCUAGUUGGUAAGGUAACGGCUUACCAAGGCAACGAUGCGUAGCCGACCUGAGAGGGUGAUAGGCCACACUGGAACUGAGGCACGGUCCAGACUCCUACGGGAGGCAGCAGUAGGGAAUCUUCCGCAAUGGGCGAAAGCCUGACGGAGCAACGCCGCGUGAGUGAUGAAGGUCUUCGGAUCGUAAAACUCUGUUAUUAGGGAAGAACAAAUGUGUAAGUAACUAUGCACGUCUUGACGGUACCUAAUCAGAAAGCCACGGCUAACUACGUG